CACGUAGGGGGCGAGCGUUGUCCGGAUUUAUUGGGCGUAAAGAGCUCGUAGGCGGCUCGGUAAGUCAGGUGUGAAAACUCUAGGCUCAACCUAGAGACGCCACCUGAUACUGCCGUGGCUAGAGUCCGGUAGGGGAGCAUGGAAUUCCUGGUGUAGCGGUGAAAUGCGCAGAUAUCGGGAAGAACACCCGUGGCGAAGGCGGUUCUCUGGGACGGUACUGACGCUGAGACGCGAAAGCGUGGGGAGCGAACAGG
rnacentral:rRNA from 1 species